AAUAAGGUUAUUUUUCAGUUUUUAGAUACAAUGUUUUGACUCUGUCUUAUUUGAACUUUUUUAUGAUUAAUAUUUUUAUUGUUAUUAGAUGAUAAAAUAUGAAUAGGACUUUAUGCGUGACUAAUUUUUUUAAAAGUUUUUGUGAAAUUUUUCAAAUAAGAUGAAUGGUCAAAGCAUUGGACACAAAAAUCAAAAAAUAACGCUAUU
rnacentral:pre_miRNA from 1 species